rnacentral:misc_RNA from 1 species
GAAAUGCGAUAAGUAGUGUGAAUUGCAGAAUUCAGUGAAUCAUCGAGUCUUUGAACGCACAUUGCGCCCUCUGGUAUUCCGGAGGGCAUGCCUGUCCGAGCGUCAUUGCUGCCCUCAAGCACGGCUUGUGUGUUGGGCCCCCGCCCCCUGCUUCCAGGGGGCGGGCCCGAAAGGCAGCGGCGGCACCGCGUCCGGUCCUCGAGCGUAUGGGGCUUCGUCACCCGCUCUUGUAGGCCCGGCCGGCGCCCGCCGGCGACCCCCAAUCAAUCUUUUCAGGUUGACCUCGGAUCAGGUAGGGAUACCCGCUGAACUUAA